rnacentral:rRNA from 1 species
UGUACUGACGCUGACACCAAAAGCGUGGGGAGCCAACAGGAUUAGAUACCCUAGUAGUCCACUCCGUAAACGAUGAGAGCUAAGUGUUAGAGGGUUUCCGCCCUUUAGUGCUGCAGCAAACGCAUUAAGCACUCCGCCUGGGGAGUACGGCCGCAAGGCUGAAACUCAAAGGAAUUGACGGGGGCCCGCACAAGCGGUGGAGCAUGUGGUUUAAUUCGAAGCAACGCGAAGAACCUUACCAGGUCUUGACAUCCCUCUAACCUCUCUAGAAAUAGACUUUUCCUUUCGGACGAAAGGGACACGUGGGGCAUGUGUGUCUUCACCUCUUGUCGCGAGAGAUGGGGUUAAAACCCCCACCACGCGCAACCC